UACAGAGGUCUCAAGCGUUGUUCGGAUUCAUUGGGCGUAAAGGGUGCGUAGGCGGCUCGGUAAGUCGGGUGUGAAAUCUCGGAGCUUAACUCCGAAACUGCAUUCGAUACUGCCGUGCUUGAGGACUGGAGAGGAGACUGGAAUUUACGGUGUAGCGGUGAAAUUCGUAGAUAUUCGGAAGAACACCAGUGGCGAAGGCGGCUCACUGGGCCGGUACUGACGCUGAGGUGCGAAAGCGUGGGGAGCAAAUAGG
rnacentral:rRNA from 1 species